CGCAGAGUACAUGGGGGAAGUCCGUUUCUACACAGGGAAGCAGUUGUGAUGGGGUUGAUGGGGCUGUUCUAAUCCCAUAAAUACCCUCUCCCGGUUCAGCCUUGACC
rnacentral:precursor_RNA from 1 species